GAUGAACGCUGGCGGCGUGCCUAACACAUGCAAGUCGAACGGAAAGACAGUAAGCUUGUGCUCUUACCGUUAGCGAGUGGCGGGUGGGUAACGCGUGCAUCGCAAUCUUCUAUUUCGGGGAUGAUUACGGAAGACAGGUUACGCUAAUAGCGCAUAUGAUGUACCGGUGAGUGCAGUGGAUCAUCACGGCUUUCGCGAUUCUAUGAGCCGAUGUCGGAUUAGCUAGUUGGGUGGGUAAAGGCCUACCAAGGCGACGAUGCGUAGCUGAUCUGAGAGGAUGAUCGGCCACACUGGAACUGAGACACGGUCCAGACUCCUACGGGAGGCAGCAGUGGGGAAUCUUGGGCAAUGGGCGAAAGCCUGACCCAGCCACACCGCGUGGGUGAAGAAGGUCUUCGGGUCGUAAAGCUCUGUUGUUGGGGAAGAACAGCUGUGGGUUGAAACAUGGCCGUUUUGACGGUACCUAAUGAAUAAGCACCGGCUAACUACGUG
rnacentral:rRNA from 1 species